UCCCCCACAGAUCAUUGAAGACUCGAUCAUUCUCCCCGCCCAGGGGCGGAGCUUUGUGCAGUUUGCCGUCGAGGUCUCUGGAAGGCAAGGUGGCUGGGUGAGAAAGGGUGCUAGACUAGACGGGCAGGAUUGCAACCUUGAUCUGGGAGUCCUGCAUCUGUACAGAACCCCAACUCACUCAGCUCUCUCUGCGUAGCCUGUGGGCCCCAGGCAUCUUCAUCAGGAGCCCUCCCUCCCCACCUCCCAGUGCCACAGGGAAAGCGGUUCCUGGCUCCUGGGCAAAGCUCCAUGGCUGUGGCUUCACGCACCCCUGCCCCUCCCCAUUCCCCAGGGCUGAGAAUCCGGAAGCCUCCUGGAUCUGCCAUCAUCACCAAUAUCAGGUCGUUCCUGUCACAUCAUUUCAUCCUGACUGUGGAAGAAUAAUUGAUCCAGGGCGAGUGGUAAAGCCACAACUUUCAGCCUGUUGCUUAUGUUUACGCCUAGUCCUGGCUCCACUCAUCCUGCGAAGUAUGUGGGAUACCCAUCUCUGCUGUCCACUACGUAAGGUCCCGUGUGCACCAUGCCUGCCUAGCACACAGCACGAACAAGACACUCAGUCCAAUGAUAAUUCCUGAACAAUGGAGGGAGUUGCCGCACAGAGAGAUUAGGCUACUAGUCCAAGAUCACACAGCCAGAGAGAGAAGCUUGCUAAAGCUGGUUUUUGCUCUUGUCAUAGCUGGGCAUUCUGGGGAAUAGGGAUAUUACAUGGGGGACCCUGGAAGUAUAUCUGGCUAGACCACAUACUCAUGAAGAGUUGUAGUAGUUUUUUUAAAAAUUUCAUUAAAUUUAAAAAGUAUGUGUGUGUGUGUGUGUGUGUGUAUGUGCCCGUG